CUCGUAGGCGGCCAACUAAGUCCGACGUGAAAUCCCCAAGCUUAACUUGGGAACUGCGUCGGAUACUGGAUGGCUUGAAUCCGGGAGAGGGAUGCAGAAUUCCAGGUGUAGCGGUGAAAUGCGUAGAUAUCUGGAGGAAUACCGGUGGCGAAGGCGGCAUCCUGGACCGGCAUUGACGCUGAUGAGCGAAAGCUAGGGGAGCAAACG
rnacentral:rRNA from 1 species